rnacentral:rRNA from 1 species
CUAGCCNUGCCGCGUGUGUGAUGAAGGCCUUAGGGUCGUAAAGCACUUUCGCCAGAGAUGAUAAUGACAGUAUCUGGUAAAGAAACCCCGGCUAACUCCGUGCCAGCAGCCGCGGUAAUACGGAGGGGGUUAGCGUUGUUCGGAAUUACUGGGCGUAAAGCGUACGUANGCGGAUCNGAAAGUAUGGGGUGAAAUCCCAGGGCUCAACCCUGGAACUGCCUCAUAAACUCCUGGUCUUGANUUCNAUAGAGGUGAGUGGAAUUCCAAGUGUANAGGUGAAAUUCNUAUAUAUUUGGAGGAACACCAGUGGCGAAGGCGGCUCACUGGCUCGAUACUGACGCUGAGGUAC